rnacentral:lncRNA from 1 species
UAUGGGACACCUUAGCUAAUGAAGGCGUCUCUCGAAGAUACGAGAAGUACAGUAGGAACCAACCUCAAUCCGGGGCCUGAUAUAAUAGAAUCGACACGUACCCUUAAGAUGGAUAUUUUGUUAAUGAGCUUCAAUGCUUUUUUCUAGUUUAGGAGUAUUUAAAUUUUGGAAGGUUGUAUUAUCAAGGAUGGAUUGAUAUACAGUUUAUCUUCAAUGCGUUUUUGUAGUUUAGGAGUAUUUAAAUUUGGUAAGGUUGUAUUAUUAAGGAUGGAUUGUUAUACAGUUUGGCAGUGGUGUUCUGUACUUCAUUAUAUUUAUAACAGGUUUUGAAAGCUGUGUGACAGUUGCAAUUAAGAUGAAGAUUUUCAUUCGAUUUUAACAUUCCAAUAUUUUAAGAGCAAUUAGAUAAAGAGGAUUUUUUU